rnacentral:lncRNA from 1 species
AUGGCUGACGGACUGCGGACUGGUGGCGGCCUGGAGUCGGAAGCCAUGGCGCCGGAGCGUACUGGCUGGGCAGCCGAGGAGGAGCCGGCGCCCCUGAGGAAAGGUUUGUUCCAAGAUGAAGAUUCAUGCAGUGAUUGUAGCUAUCAUGAUAAGCCAGGUACUAGUUUACAAAGUUUUGUGCCAGAAGGAAAAACUCCUUUCCCAGAAAUUUUCCAAACAAGUCAACUUUUGUUCUAUGAGCGAUUCAGAGCCUAUCAAGAUUACAUUUUAGCUGACUGCAAGGCCUCUGAGGUAAGGGAAUUUACAGCUGAGUUCUUGGAGAAGGUCCUUGAACCAUCUGGAUGGCGGGCAGCCUGGCACACUAAUGUGUUCAAGGUGCUGGUUGAGGUCACAGAUGUGGACUUUUCUGCCUUGAAGGUAGUGGUAAGGCUUGCUGAACCAUACCUCUGUGAAUCUCAAGUAAGCACAUUUACCUUGGAGUGUAUGAAUGAGCUUCUCAAUCUGAAGGAACAUCGGUUGCCCCUGCAGGAGCUGUGGGUGGUAUAUGAUGAUUCUGGAGUGUUUGACCAGACAGCGCUUGCAAUUGAGCAUGUCAGGUAGGAAGAGAAGUUGAUAAAAAUAAUCUUGUGGAUAGAAAGUUUGGAUGAAAUGAAGUGAUUUUGGUCUGUUAGACUCAGAGUUAAAACUCAAACUGUAGGCCGGGCGUGGUGGUUCACGCCUGUUAUCCUAGCACUCUGGGAGGCCGAGGCGGGCGGAUUGCUUGAGGUCAGGAGUUCGAAAUCAGCCUGACAAGAGUGAGACCCCGUCUCUACUA